rnacentral:rRNA from 1 species
UUGAACGCUGGCGGCAGGCCUAACACAUGCAAGUCGCACGGUAACAGAAAGCAGCUUGCUGCUUUGCUGACGAGUGGCGGACGGGUGAGUAAUGUCUGGGAAACUGCCUGAUGGAGGGGGAUAACUACUGGAAACGGUAGCUAAUACCGCAUAACGUCGCAAGACCAAAGAGGGGGACCUUCGGGCCUCUUGCCAUCGGAUGUGCCCAGAUGGGAUUAGCUAGUAGGUGGGGUAACGGCUCACCUAGGCGACGAUCCCUAGCUGGUCUGAGAGGAUGACCAGCCACACUGGAACUGAGACACGGUCCAGACUCCUACGGGAGGCAGCAGUGGGGAAUAUUGCACAAUGGGCGCAAGCCUGAUGCAGCCAUGCCGCGUGUAUGAAGAAGGCCUUCGGGUUGUAAAGUACUUUCAGCGGGGAGGAAGGGAGUAAAGUUAAUACCUUUGCUCAUUGACGUUACCCGCAGAAGAAGCACCGGCUAACUCCGUG